GUUGCAGUUAAUCACGGAUUCCAGCUGACGUUAAUGGUUUACCAGAAUCCUUAUAAGGCACAGCGUGAAUACCACCACCGGAGACGCGGCUUCCCAUCCAGUUUUGUAAUUGGUGGCUUAUGCAAAAACGUGUAAUCGCAAGAGCUUACACCUAACAAAUUUUCGACUCAGGCAUAUGCUGGGUAAACUUAGUAAAUGCCACAAUUUAACCUCCAAAAGGAGCGAUACCAUAUCUCAUGAAUAUAAUUUUAUGCCAAUCGCUCUCAAAAUAAGUGACGCAAUCAAGUUACAAUGUCUAUGGGAUACUGCAGGUGGGGGGAGCUCAUCUGAGUUACGCCAGCAAUUUUUUUUGAAAAACAAUAAUUCUGCGGCUCAUUGCGGCGAAGGAUCACUGGUGGCCCGGAGGCCUUUUCAGUUUCACCAGGACGGGUAGGCGAGCAAAGGCGUGAGAUUUGCUAACAGCUGCCCGAGCACCUCCUAAGGAGACUUAACAACUCAACAGCAACUGCUUCGCGAAUGAAUCUACUACCGGAUCGGAAUCGCGACCCGCUGAGAAGAUCCGGCGAGAAACUCAGAGGGCUGAUGAAUGGGUUAGGAUGUACGUCGACUUUUUGUCGAGUUCGACGAGAACGGUUACCGGGGUCCCUAAGCUUGCUCCUAGUAUUAGAGCUGAAGGCGUCUAAGGCAAAGGUUAUUGAAUCUAAAUCUGAUGACUGUAAUCGAGAAUCAACUUCAUUAUCACUCGAAAAAGAGGUCAGAACUUUACCGUUACUCGAGUACUUGAGAACGGAAACACACGGGAGGCUACUGACGCUAUCGACGCUCGCCACAGAUAACUAUCUUCUAGCAAAACUUUGCUGUACAGAAAUAAUAAAAAACUGGCAUAGCAAUUUUUUUUAAUUGUUAAAUUACUGACGAAUAUUAUUACCACCAUUUUUGGUUUCAGAGAAACAACCAGACCUUUGCUGCAGCGUGAGUACAGUUGGAUCACACAUUCUUGAAAAGAACACGUCAGUAAGGAAAACCAAUACUAAACUAGAAUACUCUGGAAAAUAUAUCAUUGUUCUUCUUCAAGAUUACAUCAAAUAAAUUGAAAUAUUUUAUAUGGUAUCAUCAUUUACAAGAUUUAUUUAAAUGGUACAAAGAAAUAUGAAGGUUAAAUGUAUAUAUAGGUGUAGACGCAUUAACUGAUCUUGUGAUUUCCUUAUAAGAACCAACUCGAGACAAACUCGAUUCCUGAGAUUGUUUAGACUUUAAUAGUAAAGCUUGCUCUAGUACUAUAAAUCUAGAUUAAGUUUUGAAAAUACAUUAUUUGGAUCCGGCAAACAG